GAGAAGAGGUUGCAGAUGAUCAAGGAGCGACACGUGCAGGGAUGGCUUGAAAAGGGUGAUUAGCUUCAGGUUCCAGGUGGGACCUAGUGGUAACUGAGUUGCAGAUAUUCCAUGAUAGAGCUCAUUCUGCCUGGGCUGCUUUUUGGGGUGGUGUGGAUGAUACUGGUUGCACUGUUGGAGCUUGGACUCGGAGAGGAACACGUGAGCACAAUCGUAUGUUGCAUCAGCAGUAGUCAGCAUUGUG